AUUAUUUCAUUAUGGGCAUAACAGAUAGACUCUAUGACUGGUGGCAUAGCGUAGAAUGUCAUUAUAAUGAAAACUGUACAUAUGAAAGCGUUAGAGAAACCAGCUCAAUAAAAUACUGGAUUAGAAAGUGUGUGUGUCGUAGAAAAUUGUCCGAAAAAGAAGUAACACACUAUCUUAAUACAGAUAUAAGAAAAGAAACGAAGCAUGGUCGUGGAGGGCCUUGGUACGAAUUAUCAUGGAUUAAGUAUGACGGACCGAAUUUUUCAAAUUUGGCAGGGAGGUAAUUAAACCCAAAGAAAAGAGUGACUUUACCAUUUAUAAAUCUUGUGGAUAAAAAGAACUACUGAUACCAUGUAUAAAUAUCAGAAAUAAAAAUGUCU
rnacentral:sRNA from 1 species